rnacentral:rRNA from 1 species
GCUGGCGGCGUGCCUAAUACAUGCAAGUCGAGCGAACGGACGAGAAGCUUGCUUCUCUGAUGUUAGCGGCGGACGGGUGAGUAACACGUGGAUAACCUACCUAUAAGACUGGGAUAACUUCGGGAAACCGGAGCUAAUACCGGAUAAUAUUUUGAACCGCAUGGUUCAAAAGUGAAAGACGGUCUUGCUGUCACUUAUAGAUGGAUCCGCGCUGCAUUAGCUAGUUGGUAAGGUAACGGCUUACCAAGGCAACGAUGCAUAGCCGACCUGAGAGGGUGAUCGGCCACACUGGAACUGAGACACGGUCCAGACUCCUACGGGAGGCAGCAGUAGGGAAUCUUCCGCAAUGGGCGAAAGCCUGACGGAGCAACGCCGCGUGAGUGAUGAAGGUCUUCGGAUCGUAAAACUCUGUUAUUAGGGAAGAACAUAUGUGUAAGUAACUGUGCACAUCUUGACGGUACCUAAUCAGAAAGCCACGGCUAACUACGUGCCAGCAGCCGCGGUAAUACGUAGGUGGCAAGCGUUAUCCGGAAUUAUUGGGCGUAAAGCGCGCGUAGGCGGUUUUUUAAGUCUGAUGUGAAAGCCCACGGCUCAACCGUGGAGGGUCAUUGGAAACUGGAAAACUUGAGUGCAGAAGAGGAAAGUGGAAUUCCAUGUGUAGCGGUGAAAUGCGCAGAGAUAUGGAGGAACACCAGUGGCGAAGGCGACUUUCUGGUCUGUAACUGACGCUGAUGUGCGAAAGCG